GACAGAGGGUGCGAACGUUGCUCGGAAUUACUGGGUGUAAAGCGCGUGUAGGUGGUUUCGCACGUCCGGUGUGAAAGCCCUGGGCCUCAACCCAGGAAGUGCAUCGGAUACGACGGAGCUGGAGUGCUGAAGAGGAGAGCGGAAUUCCCGGUGUAGAGGUAGAAAUUCGUAGAUAUCGGGAGGAACACCGGUGGCGAAGGCGGCUCUCUGGGCAGCGACUGACACUGAGACGCGAAAGCGUGGGUGAGCAAACAGGG
rnacentral:rRNA from 1 species